rnacentral:ribozyme from 1 species
CCAACUCCAAGAUGAGCUUUCAGUGGACGGAAGUGUCAGGCAAGCUCGGGCUGUCCAGCAG